UACGUAGGGUGCGAGCGUUGUCCGGAAUUAUUGGGCGUAAAGAGCUCGUAGGCGGUGUGUCACGUCGGCCGUGAAAACCUGCAGCUUAACUGUGGGCGUGCGGUCGAUACGGGCAGGCUAGAGUUCGGUAGGGGAGUUUGGAAUUCCUGGUGUAGCGGUGAAAUGCGUAGAUAUCUGGAGGAAUACCGGUGGCGAAGGCGGCAUCCUGGACCGGCAUUGACGCUGAGGAGCGAAAGCUAGGGGAGCAAACGGG
rnacentral:rRNA from 1 species